GAAAUGCGAUACUUGGUGUGAAUUGCAGAAUCCCGUGAACCAUCGAGUCUUUGAACGCAAGUUGCGCCCGAAGCCACUAGGCUGAGGGCACGUCUGCCUGGGUGUCACGUAUCGUGUUGCCACCGACCACUCACUCCUAGAGGAGAUGUGCUGGUUUGUGGGCGUAAAUUGGCCUCCCGUGCCUUGUCGCGACAUCGGUGGUUGUAAAAAGACCUUAUCUUGUCGUGCGAAUCCCUGUCACCUUAGAGAGCUCCAGGAUCCUUAGGCGCCACACAUUUUGUGCGCUUCGAAUGUGACCCCAGGUCAGGCGGGACUACUUGCUGAGUUUAA
rnacentral:misc_RNA from 1 species